GCGCGGGUCCUGUGCGGCAGGGCGCCGUGAACCAUGUCAGGCGGGGAACCGAGCAGCAUUCAGCGGGCCGCCCUGUGCGCCACAGCCCGCCUGCGCGCC
rnacentral:SRP_RNA from 1 species